rnacentral:sRNA from 1 species
CAGGAUGAAUCAAUGAAGAAACAGAACCAGAAUGAUGGAAAAACCAACAAAAGCCUUGGACUUUGCCCACACACAUAUUGCCUUACUGGUGACUAUGCAUCAAUUACUGGUGCAAAUCGCGAGAUAGGAGUAUGUGCAUCCAUACAGAUAUGAAUCUUUCUAUAUUACAUGCCUAGCUUUUCGAUGGACCCUUUUUUUUUUUUUGGCCCCUUUAUCGAUGCUACUGCUAAACAUUUGCGUCUUGUAGUUUUGAGGUUUUACGCCAGAACCCAGAAAGCCUAGUUAGUAGUCGCCGGCCUCGUGCGCGACAAAGCUGCCAC